rnacentral:rRNA from 1 species
UGGGGGAUAUUGCACAAUGGGCGAAAGCCUGAUGCAGCGACGCCGCGUGGGGGAUGAAGGCCUUCGGGUUGUAAACUUCUUUUGCUCUGAACAAGGCGCACCAUGGGGUGUGUUGAGUGUAGGGGUUGAUUAGCGCCGGCUAACUACGUGCCAGCAGCCGCGGUAAUACGUAGGGCGCGAGCGUUGUCCGGAAUUAUUGGGCGUAAAGGGCUUGUAGGUGGCUGGUUGCGUCUGUCGUGAAAGCUCAUGGCUUAACUGUGGGUUUGCGGUGGGUACGGGCUGGCUUGAGUGCAGUAGGGGGGGCUGGAAUUCCUGGUGUAGCGGUGGAAUGCGCAGAUAUCAGGAGGAAUACCUGUGGCGAAGGCGGGUCUCUGGGCUGUUACUGACACUGAGGAGCGAAAGCAUGGGGAGCGAACAGG